ACCCAAUCAAGCCAUUGUUUCAGUCGCUCAUAAGUAAAGCACCUGAGAUAUUGUUUGAGUGUACAAUUAACAACCUCUGUUUGGCCAUCCAUUUAUGAAUGUUAACUUGAGCUCAUGCAAAGAGAUGUCCCUUGUAGCUCAAAAAAGUCUUCCAAAAUGAGCUGAUGAAAAUUUUAUCACGAUCGCUAACGAUGGAGGCCAGCAUACCAUGAAGUUGAAAGACUUGGUCGAGAAAGGCUUUGGCCACGGUGGAGGUAGUAAAUGGGUGCUUCAUCGAGGUAAAAUGUGCAAACUUCGUUAGACGAUCGACGACCACCAUGAUGAUUGUAAACACAUGCAAUGGCAGUAAACCCUCCAUGAUGGAAAUGUCAAUCCAUAUUUUCUCUGGUAUCGGUACCGACUGGAGCAAAUCGACAAGACACAAGCAUUCGGACUUACAACGCUGGCAGACAUCACAAGUUCUUAUGAAGUCUUUGACUGUAGUUCGGAUGUGAGGCCAAGUGAAGCUGGCGGCAAUGCAGCUUAGAGUUUUGUGAUAGCCAAAAUGUCCACCGAACGGAGAAGAAUGGUGUGCGGAUAAAAUAGCAGGUAGCAAUGGGGAAGUAGCACUCAAAUAACUGCACCCUUUUUUAAAUAGAACUCCAUUGCAUAGAGAGAAUUGCAGUUGGAGAUGUGAUGGCAUGGAGCUCAAUAACUUACUGUAGAAGGGGUCGUUGGCCACCUCGGCUUGGAGUAUGGACCACCAAUUUGCAACAGGAAGAGACAUGGCCAGAAACACAAGUUCCCCACCUCGUGAGAGAGCAUUGGCCCCACAAUUGUCUUUCCCCUUCUUGUAUUAAAUAUGAUAGUCAUACCCGAGAAUCUUUGGUAACCACCAUGUUUGUGCCGGAGUGGUGAUGAGUUGCUCCAACAAGUAUUUCAAACUCCUUUGAUCAGUGCGGACAGUGAAGGGUUUCCCCAGCAAGUAUGGUCUCCAUCUCCGGAUGGCCUUAACAAUCGCGAGCAUUUCCUUCUCGUAUGUUGAUAAAGCUUGGGUUGUUGGCUUAAGAGUUUCACUGAAAUAGGCAAUGGGAUGACCUUCUUGGGAAAAAAUAGCUCCAAUGCCUCCCCCACAAGCAUCGCAUUCGACCACAAAUGGUUGUGAAAAUCUGGUAAGCGAAGAACUGGGGAAGACGUCAGGGCCUCCUUUAACUAAGAAAAUGUGGCUACAGCCUCGGAUGUCCAUUAGAAUCCUUCUCUGGACAUUAAGCGGUUGAGAGGUGCAACUAGCCUACUAAAGCCCCGAAUAAAUUUACAGUAGUAGCCGGCCAACCCAAGGAAACUGCGAAAACUCUUUCCUGAUGUUGGGGUAAGCCAUUCUAGCACUUAAUUAAUUUUCUCUGGAUUCACGGCCACACCUGUAAAGAAAAUAAUAUGUCCUAAAUAUGCCACCUGCGUAACACCAAAACAACAUUUAGAUUAUUUGGCGAACAAUUGAUUGUGGGAUAGGACGGGGAGGACUGCCUUAGGUGACCGAGGUGAUCGGCCCGACCUUUUUGUACACCAAGAUGUCAUCAAAAAAUACCAGGACAAACUUCCGCAAAUAGGGACGCAAUAAAUCAUUCAUUAGACUCUAAAAGGUGGAUGGGGCGUUGGUCAACCCAAAGGGCAUGACAAUGAAUUCAUAGUGAUCAUCAUGAGUGCAGGAGGCUGUUUUGAUGUCAGCCUCGUGAACACGUAUUUGAUGGUAGUCGGCACGCAAAUCAAGUUUGGAAAAAUACCUGGAUCUAUGUAAUUCAUCAAGAAGCUCAUCAAUGACUGGGAUCGGGUACUUAUCUUUGAUGGUAAUGUGCUUGAAAAGCUCGAUAGUCAACACAGAGCCACCAUCCUCCAUCUGCUAUUUUGACAAGUAAAACUGGUGAUGAAAAAGGACUUUUGCUAGGCCGGAUCAGCCCAAAGUUGAAGAAUUCCCACACCAUUUUUUCAAUCUUCGAUUUCUGAUAGUAGGGGUAUCGGUAUGGUUGUACACUCACCGAUUAUUGGUUUGGUUGUAGCAAAAUUUUAUGAUCAUGGGCACGGGUUGGUGGCAAGGAGUUUGGAGUAUCGAAGACAUGGGCAAACUCGUCGAGGAUGCUUGUAAGGUCGGCUGGGUGAGUCGUGGCUGGAGGAACCUCAACGCAUGGAGUAAUCUGGAGGAAUAAGGAAGAUCCUUCAAGGUGGCCGAUCCUUCAAGGUGUAGGAGUUCCUUGCCAUUCAAGGCGUCGGGGGCUGAGAGCUUAAGGCCCUGGAACAUAAAAGGUUUCCCUCUGUGUCAAAAGGACAUUGUUAGCUUACUAUAAUCCAAUUCAAUGGGACCUAGGGUGGCUAGCCACUGGACCCCCAAGACUGCUUGACAUGCUGCCACAGGUAAGAUGUAAAAAUUAGCCUAUACUAGAUGAUCUUGGAUUACCAAAGUGAGUCUCAAACAUCGUCCAAUUCAAUCAAUCUUGUCCCUGUUGGCCACCAUUACUUGUAGUUGUUA
rnacentral:lncRNA from 1 species